CUGCUUUGGCAGUAUGUAUACUAAAACUGGAAUGAUAUAGAGAAGCUUAGCAUGGCCCCUGUGUAAGGAUUACAUACAAAUUCAUGAAGCAUUCCAUAUUUUU